UGCGAAUAUACAGGUAGUUCCCUGGAUGGGUGAAGGGUCUAAACAGAUAUGAACGGCGGGACUUCUCUCGAGUGGAGUCAAAGCUUAGUGCUU
rnacentral:telomerase_RNA from 1 species